CACGCCCUAAACGAUGUCUACUAGUUGUCGGGACUUAAUUGUCUUGGUAACGCAGCUAACGCGUGAAGUAGACCGCCUGGGGAGUACGGUCGCAAGAUUAAAACUCAAAGGAAUUGACGGGGACCCGCACAAGCGGUGGAUGAUGUGGAUUAAUUCGAUGCAACGCGAAAAACCUUACCUACCCUUGACAUGGCAGGAAUCCUGAAGAGAUUUAGGAGUGCUCGCAAGAGAACCUGCACACAGGUGC
rnacentral:rRNA from 1 species